rnacentral:rRNA from 1 species
GACGAACGCUGGCGGCGUGCUUAACACAUGCAAGUCGAACGGAAAGGCCCUGCUUUUGUGGGGUGCUCGAGUGGCGAACGGGUGAGUAACACGUGAGUAACCUGCCCUUGACUUUGGGAUAACUUCAGGAAACUGCGGCUAAUACCGGAUAGGAGCUCCUGCUGCAUGGUGGGGGUUGGAAAGUUUCGGCGGUUGGGGAUGGACUCGCGGCUUAUGAGCUUGUUGGUGGGGUAGUGGCUUACCAAGGCUUUGACGGGUAGCCGGCCUGAGAGGGUGACCGGCGACAUUAGGACUGAGAUACGGCGCAGACGGCAAUGGGAGGCAGUGGUGGGGAACAUUGCGCAGUGGGCGGACGCGUGAGGCAGAAGCGCCGCGUGCGGGAUGACGGCCUUCGGGUGGUAAACCGCUUUCGCCUGUGACGAAGCGUGAGUGACGGUAAUGGGUAAAGAAGCACCGGCUAACUACGUG